GAGGGUAUAGCUCAGUGGGAGAGCACAUGCUUAGCAUGCAGGAGGUCCUGUGUUCAGUCCCCAGUACCUCCU
rfam:Camelus ferus unplaced genomic scaffold scaffold765, whole genome shotgun sequence.